CCUACGGGGGGCUGCAGCGGGGAAUAUUGCACAAUGGGCGCAAGCCUGAUGCAGCCAUGCCGCGUGUGUGAAGAAGGCCUUCGGGUUGUAAAGCACUUUCAGCGGGGAGGAAGGCGGUGAGGUUAAUAACCUCAUCGAUUGACGUUACCCGCAGAAGAAGCACCGGCUAACUCCGUGCCAGCAGCCGCGGUAAAACGGAGGGUGCAAGCGUUAAUCGGAAUUACUGGGCGUAAAGCGCACGCAGGCGGUCUGUCAAGUCGGAUGUGAAAUCCCCGGGCUCAACCUGGGAACUGCAUUCGAAACUGGCAGGCUAGAGUCUUGUAGAGGGGGGUAGAAUUCCAGGUGUAGCGGUGAAAUGCGUAGAGAUCUGGAGGAAUACCGGUGGCGAAGGCGGCCCCCUGGACAAAGACUGACGCUCAGGUGCGAAAGCGUGGGGAGCAAACAGGAUUAGAUACCCGAGUAGUC
rnacentral:rRNA from 1 species